UCCUCACAGCAGGACGAAGAUGGAACAGAUGAGGAGGAGGGCCGGUCUUUGCGCAUUCGCGGGCGAAACCCUUCACGUCAUAAGCAAGUGGAGACCGUGCUGCUGGAGGAUCAGAUGGGGGGCACGUANGUGACCCAACGUCGCCGUUCACCUCGGCGGUCCCCCUCAGCUGGCAUGGAAGGACUCUCGCCACUAGUAUCUGAAGAGGACCUCAACACCAUUCAGCCCCUGAUCUGCUGUCCCUCCCGUCAAGGCGGGUCAGGCAAGUUCCUGAGCAAGGUGACCCGGCGCAAGGACCAGUCUCAGCGGGAGAAUUCAGAUAGCGACACGGACCAGUCAGAGACCUCNGCUAAGGACACUGGAUAAACCUAUUCCCUCGUUCCACUGUUUUCACAAGAAAGAAUAAAAAAAACCCACAUGUCUUGACUCA
rnacentral:lncRNA from 1 species